GAUGAACGCUGGCGGCGUGCCUAAUGCAUGCAAGUCGAGCGAACAGACGAGGAGCUUGCUCCUCUGACGUUAGCGGCGGACGGGUGAGUAACACGUGGAUAACCUACCUAUAAGACUGGGAUAACUUCGGGAAACCGGAGCUAAUACCGGAUAAUAUAUUGAACCGCAUGGUUCAAUAGUGAAAGACGGUUUUGCUGUCACUUAUAGAUGGCUCCGCGCCGCAUUAGCUAGUUGGUAAGGUAACGGCUUACCAAGGCAACGAUGCGUAGCCGACCUGAGAGGGUGAUCGGCCACACUGGAACUGAGACACGGUCCAGACUCCUACGGGAGGCAGCAGUAGGGAAUCUUCCGCAAUGGGCGAAAGCUUGACGGAGCAACGCCGCGUGAGCGAUGAAGGUCUUCGGAUCGUAAAACUCUGUUAUUAGGGAAGAACAAAUGUGUAAGUAACUAUGCACGUCUUGACGGUACCUAAUCAGAAAGCCACGGCUAACUACGUG
rnacentral:rRNA from 1 species